GGGAUCAUUACUGAGUUUUUAACUCCAAACCAUUGUGAACUUACCACUGUUGCCUCGGCGGCGACUCUCACUGGCAGCAAUGUUAGUGGGUUAACCGCCGGUGGACUACUAAACUAUGUUAAUUUUUGUCAAUCUGAAUAAAAAACUUAAUAAGUUAAAACUUUCAACAACGGAUCUAUUGGUUCUGGCAUCGAUGAAGAACGCAGCGAAAUGCGAUAAGUAAUGUGAAUUGCAGAAUUCAGUGAAUCAUCGAAUCUUUGAACGCACAUUGCGCCCAUUAGUAUUCUAGUGGGCAUGCCUGUUCGAGCGUCAUUUCAACCCUUAAGCCUAGCUUAGUAUUGGGAAUCUGCUUAACCGCAGCUCCUUAAAUAUAGUUGGCAGAGCACAGCUGUACUCUGAGCGUAGUAAUUCAUUAUCUCGCUUUCUGAAGGCAGUCGUACGAUUGCCACAAACCU
rnacentral:rRNA from 1 species